rnacentral:rRNA from 1 species
AGAGUUUGAUCCUGGCUCAGGAUAAACGCUGGCGGCGUGCAUGAGACAUGCAAGUCGAACGAACGAGCUUGCUCGUUAGUGGCGGACGGCUGAGUAACGCGUAGGUGACCUGCCCCGAAGUGGGGGAUAACUGCCCGAAAGGGUGGCUAAUACCGCAUGUGGCGACACUUUCAUUGGUGUCAUCAAAGCCGCGAGGCGCUUCGGGAGGGGCCUGCGUCCGAUUAGCUCGUUGGUGGGGUAAUGGCUCACCAAGGCGACGAUCCGUAGCUGGUCUGAGAGGACGAUCAGCCACACUGGGACCGAGACACGGCCCAGACUCCUACGGGAGGCAGCAAUGGGGAAUCUUGCGCAAUGGGCGAAAGCCUGACGCAGCGACGCCGCGUGCGGGAAGAAGGCCUUCGGGUUGUAAACCGCUUUCAGGAGGGACGAAGCCACUCGGGUUAAUAGCCCAGAGGGUGACGGUACCUCCAGAAGAAGCCCCGGCUAACUACGUGCCAGCAGCCGCGGUAAUACGUAGGGGGCAAGCGUUGUCCGGAUUUAUUGGGCGUAAAGAGCGUGUAGGCGGCCAGACAGGUCCGUUGUGAAAACUCGAGGCUCAACCUCGAGACGUCGACGGAAACCGUCUGGCUAGAGUCCGAAAGAGGAGUGUGGAAUUCCUGGUGUAGCGGUGAAAUGCGUAGA